UCUAGAGGCUUCGUCAAUGCCCGAAAGGGUGAACGAGCGACGCCGCGUGCGGGAUGAAGGCCUUCGGGUUGUAAACCGCUUUUAUUAGGGACGAACGCACUGAUCGUGAAUUGGUGCUUGACGGUACUUGAUGAAUAAGCCUCGGCUAACUCCGUGCCAGCAGCCGCGGUAAUACGGAGGAGGCGAGCGUUGUUCGGAAUCAUUGGGCGUAAAGGGCUCGUAGGCGGACCUGUGUGUCUUGCGUGAAAUCUCCACCGCUUACCGGGGAGGGUGCGUAGGAAACUGCCGGUCUUGAGUAUGAUAGAGGGUCGCGGAAUUCCGGGUGUAGCGGUGGAAUGCGUAGAUAUCCGGAGGAACACCGGUGGCGAAGGCGGCGGCCUGCAUCAAUACUGACGCUGAGGAGCGAAAGCUAGGGUAGCAAACG
rnacentral:rRNA from 1 species